UUUUGCCUGAAGGAGGAAACUGAUAGUAACUCUGAUUUUUUUUAAUUUAGCAUUUUGAGGAUCAAGUGGUUGGUUUAUUGAUUUAGAAGAUCAUGAUUGGAGGCCAUGCAAAUAAAUUCUGGAUUCUAUUGACGUGUAUUUUUAUCUGGUGCUACUUUUGGGGAGUUUUUUCAUCACAUACGCAUAAAAACGAGGAAAGUGAUUUAUUUUUUCAAAAAUGGUUUCAAAAUGAGGACGAAAAGAAAAUCAAGGAGAUCUUGAAUACCCAAAAUUUUGCAAAUGAUG
rnacentral:lncRNA from 1 species